GGGACAUAAACUCAAUUAAGGGACAUAUAUUCAAUUUUGCAUCUAAGGCGUCUAGGGUCUUCUCCACUUACAUGUGAAGUUAUGAAGCAUUCACAUUGAAAUUGCAUUCAGACAAUUAAUUUUUGGGACAUCGUAGGACAUAAACUUAAUAGGGACAUAUAUUCAAUUUUGCAUCUAAGGCACCAAGGGUCUUCUCCAAUUAC
rnacentral:lncRNA from 1 species